rnacentral:rRNA from 1 species
GUGCCAGCAGCCGCGGUAAUACGUAGGGGGCUAGCGUUGUUCGGAAUUACUGGGCGUAAAGAGCGCGUAGGCGGUGCGGUGUGUUUGGUGUGAAAUCUCCCGGCUCAACCGGGAGGGGCCAUCGAAAACUGCCGUGCUGGAGUGCGGAAGAGGGCAGUGGAAUUCCCGGUGUAGCGGUGAAAUGCGUAGAGAUCGGGAGGAACACCUGUGUCGAAGGAGGCUGCCUGGGCCGCAACUGACGCUGAGGCGCGAAAGCUAGGGGAGCAAACAGGAUUAGAUACCCUGGUAGUCCUAGCCCUAAACGAUGUUCACUGGGUGUGCCCCGCGCACGCGGGGUGUGCCGAAGCUAACGCAUUAAGUGAACCGCCUGGGGAGUACGGUCGCAAGGCUGAA